CCUACGGGAGGCAGCAGUGAGGAAUAUUGGUCAAUGGCCGGAAGGCUGAACCAGCCACGCCGCGUGAAGGAUGAAGGUGCCAAGCAUUGUAAACUUCUUUUGUCAAGGGACACAAUCAGGCUCGAGAGCCUGACCGAGGGUACUUGAAGAAAAAGCAUCGGCUAACUCCGUGCCAGCAGCCGCGGUAAUACGGGGGAUGCGAGCGUUAUCCGGAUUUAUUGGGUUUAAAGGGUGCGUAGGCGGUCUGUUAAGUCAGCGGUAAAAGCCCGGGGCUCAACCCCGGCGCGCCGUUGAAACUGGCAGUCUAGAGUUGGAGAGAGGUAUGCGGAAUGCGCAGUGUAGCGGUGAAAUGCUUAGAUAUAGCGAAGAACUCCGAAUGCGAAGGCAGCAUACCGGCUCCGUACUGACGCUGAGGCACGAAAGCGUGGGUAGCGAACAGGAUUAGAUACCCCAGUAGUC
rnacentral:rRNA from 1 species